GAUGAAGAACGUAGCGAAAUGCGAUAAGUAAUGUGAAUUGCAGAAUUCAGUGAAUCAUCGAAUCUUUGAACGCACCUUGCGCUCCUUGGCAUUCCGAGGAGCAUGCCUGUUUGAGUGUCAUUAAAUUCUCAAGACCUGUCUGCUUUUUUGAUAGGUAUUGGAUUUUGGGGGUUGCAGGCUGUUUCAAAUAAAUAGCCUUGCUCUCCUUGAAUGUAUUAGUGGAGAAAAGCCAUUGAACUCCAUUGGUGUGAUAAAACCUAUCAAUGCCAGGAGCAAUAUCACUACUUCUCUCUGCUGUCUAACUGUGACUGUCUGUAUUAAUUAGUAUGGAUGGGGACAACUUGACCAACUUGACCUCAAAUCAGGUAGGACUACCCGCUGAACUUAAGCAUAUCGAUAAGCGGAGGA
rnacentral:misc_RNA from 1 species